rnacentral:rRNA from 1 species
GGUUAAGCGACUAAGCGUACACGGUGGAUGCCCUGGCAGUCAGAGGCGAUGAAGGACGUGCUAAUCUGCGAAAAGCGUCGGUAAGGUGAUAUGAACCGUUACAGCCGGCGAUGUCCGAAUGGGGAAACCCAGUGCAAUUCGUUGCACUAUCGUUAACUGAAUACAUAGGUUAACGAGGCGAACCGGGGGAACUGAAACAUCUAAGUACCCCGAGGAAAAGAAAUCAACCGAGAUUCCCCCAGUAGCGGCGAGCGAACGGGGAGCAGCCCAGAGUCUGAAUCAGCUUGUGUGUUAGUGGAACGGUCUGGAAAGUCCGACGGUACAGGGUGAUAGUCCCGUACACCAAAAUGCACAGGCUGUGAACUCGAAGAGUAGGGCGGGACACGUGGUAUCCUGUCUGAAUAUGGGGGGACCAUCCUCCAAGGCUAAAUACUCCUGACUGACCGAUAGUGAACCAGUACCGUGAGGGAAAGGCGAAAAGAACCCCGGCGAGGGGAGUGAAAAAGAACCUGAAACCGUGUACGUACAAGCAGUGGGAGCACCUUCGGGUGUGACUGCGUACCUUUUGUAUAAUGGGUCAGCGACUUAUAUUCUGUAGCAAGGUUAACCGUAUAGGGGAGCCGCAGGGAAACCGAGUCUUAACUGGGCGUUAAGUUGCAGGGUAUAGACCCGAAACCCGGUGAUCUAGCCAUGGGCAGGUUGAAGGUUGGGUAACACUAACUGGAGGACCGAACCGACUAAUGUUGAAAAAUUAGCGGAUGACUUGUGGCUGGGGGUGAAAGGCCAAUCAAACCGGGAGAUAGCUGGUUCUCCCCGAAAGCUAUUUAGGUAGCGCCUCGUGAACUCAUCUUCGGGGGUAGAGCACUGUUUCGGCUAGGGGGUCAUCCCGACUUACCAACCCGAUGCAAACUACGAAUACCGAAGAAUGUUAUCACGGGAGACACACGGCGGGUGCUAACGUCCGUCGUGAAGAGGGAAACAACCCAGACCGCCAGCUAAGGUCCCAAAGUCAUGGUUAAGUGGGAAACGAUGUGGGAAGGCACAGACAGCCAGGAUGUUGGCUUAGAAGCAGCCAUCAUUUAAAGAAAGCGUAAUAGCUCACUGGUCGAGUCGGCCUGCGCGGAAGAUGUAACGGGGCUAAACCAUGCACCGAAGCUGCGGCAGCGACACUAUGUGUUGUUGGGUAGGGGAGCGUUCUGUAAGCCUGCGAAGGUGACCUGUGAGGGUUGCUGGAGGUAUCAGAAGUGCGAAUGCUGACAUAAGUAACGAUAAAGCGGGUGAAAAGCCCGCUCGCCGGAAGACCAAGGGUUCCUGUCCAACGUUAAUCGGGGCAGGGUGAGUCGACCCCUAAGGCGAGGCCGAAAGGCGUAGUCGAUGGGAAACAGGUUAAUAUUCCUGUACUUGGUGUUACUGCGAAGGGGGGACGGAGAAGGCUAUGUUAGCCGGGCGACGGUUGUCCCGGUUUAAGCAUGUAGGCUGAUUGUCCAGGCAAAUCCGGAUAAUCAAGGCUGAGGUGUGAUGACGAGGCACUACGGUGCUGAAGUAACAAAUGCCCUGCUUCCAGGAAAAGCCUCUAAGCAUCAGGUAACAUCAAAUCGUACCCCAAACCGACACAGGUGGUCAGGUAGAGAAUACCAAGGCGCUUGAGAGAACUCGGGUGAAGGAACUAGGCAAAAUGGUGCCGUAACUUCGGGAGAAGGCACGCUGGUGUGUAGGUGAAGUCCCUGCGGAUGGAGCUGAGACCAGUCGAAGAUACCAGCUGGCUGCAACUGUUUAUUAAAAACACAGCACUGUGCAAACACGAAAGUGGACGUAUACGGUGUGACGCCUGCCCGGUGCCGGAAGGUUAAUUGAUGGGGUUAUCCGUAAGGAGAAGCUCUUGAUCGAAGCCCCGGUAAACGGCGGCCGUAACUAUAACGGUCCUAAGGUAGCGAAAUUCCUUGUCGGGUAAGUUCCGACCUGCACGAAUGGCGUAAUGAUGGCCAGGCUGUCUCCACCCGAGACUCAGUGAAAUUGAACUCGCUGUGAAGAUGCAGUGUACCCGCGGCAAGACGGAAAGACCCCGUGAACCUUUACUAUAGCUUGACACUGAACAUUGAGCCUUGAUGUGUAGGAUAGGUGGGAGGCUUUGAAGCGUGGACGCCAGUCUGCGUGGAGCCAACCUUGAAAUACCACCCUUUAAUGUUUGAUGUUCUAACGUUGGCCCCUUACCGGGGUUGCGGACAGUGUCUGGUGGGUAGUUUGACUGGGGCGGUCUCCUCCCAAAGCGUAACGGAGGAGCACGAAGGUUAGCUAAUCCUGGUCGGACAUCAGGAGGUUAGUGCAAUGGCAUAAGCUAGCUUGACUGCGAGCGUGACGGCGCGAGCAGGUGCGAAAGCAGGUCAUAGUGAUCCGGUGGUUCUGAAUGGAAGGGCCAUCGCUCAACGGAUAAAAGGUACUCCGGGGAUAACAGGCUGAUACCGCCCAAGAGUUCAUAUCGACGGCGGUGUUUGGCACCUCGAUGUCGGCUCAUCACAUCCUGGGGCUGAAGUAGGUCCCAAGGGUAUGGCUGUUCGCCAUUUAAAGUGGUACGCGAGCUGGGUUUAGAACGUCGUGAGACAGUUCGGUCCCUAUCUGCCGUGGGCGCUGGAGAAUUGAGGGGGGCUGCUCCUAGUACGAGAGGACCGGAGUGGACGCAUCACUGGUGUUCGGGUUGUCAUGCCAAUGGCACUGCCCGGUAGCUAAAUGCGGAAGAGAUAAGUGCUGAAAGCAUCUAAGCACGAAACUUGCCCCGAGAUGAGUUCUCCCUGAGACUUUAAGUCUCCUGAAGGAACGUUAAAGACGAUGACGUUGAUAGGCCGGGUGUGUAAGCGCAGCGAUGCGUUGAGCUAACCGGUACUAAUGAACCGUGAGGCUUAACCUU